AUUUCAUGAUUUAUUUGUUGAUUGUUAUAUUGGUUUGCUUGUGUGUAUAACUCGCAGGUAAGAGAAUCGUUUCACUAAGUAUUUAUUGAAAUAUUUAUGCAUUUCUUUUCUUGAUGCAGAUAAAGAUAAAGUGAGACGUAGAAUCAUUGCGAGAAAGAAAGGAUGAUCUAAGGCCAAAAUAAGAAAAUAACACCUACAUCACCGAAACGAGACCCUAGAAAAGCUAAACACAUCAACUUUUCAAAAGAAUUUAUGACUUCGUCAAAAUUUAAUCAAGAUGCGAGUCAGGUAAGUCACCUAAAAGAGUAACAUUGAUGUACUCAUUAGGGAAGUGAGCAGGUAAUCCAGGAAUCAACAAUGCAACAACCCUA
rnacentral:sRNA from 1 species